rnacentral:rRNA from 1 species
AACGAACGCUGGCGGCAUGCCUAACACAUGCAAGUCGAACGAGACCUUCGGGUCUAGUGGCGCACGGGUGCGUAACGCGUGGGAACCUGCCCUUAGGUUCGGAAUAACUCCCCGAAAGGGGUGCUAUUACCGGAUAAUGUCUUCGGACCAAAGAUUUAUCGCCUUUGGUUGGGCCCGCGUUGGAUUAGCUAGUUGGUAGGGUAAAAGCCUACCAAGGCGACGAUCCAUAGAUGGUCUGAGAGGAUGAUCAGCCACACUGGGACUGAGACACGGCCCAGACUCCUACGGGAGGCAGCAGUGGGGAAUAUUGGACAAUGGGCGAAAGCCUGAUCCAGCAAUGCCGCGUGAGUGAUGAAGGCAUUAGGGUUGUAAAGCUCUUUUACCCGGGAUGAUAAUGACAGUACCGGGAGAAUAAGCUACGGCUAACUCCGUG